ensembl:snRNA U4 U4 spliceosomal RNA
AGCUUUGUGCAGUGGCAGUAUCAUAGCGAAUGAGGUUUAUCCGAGGCACGAUUAUUGCUAAUUGAAAGCUUUAUUUCUUGUGAAAAUAGAAUAUAGCUAUAUCACUAACACUUAUGCACAAGCUACUGUUU